rnacentral:rRNA from 1 species
GAUCAUGGCUCAGGACGAACGCUGGCGGCGCGCCUAACACAUGCAAGUCGAACGAGAGAGAAGGAGCUUGCUUCUUCGAUCGAGUGGCGAACGGGUGAGUAACGCGUGAGGAACCUGCCUCAAAGAGGGGACGAACAGUUGGAACGACUGCUAAUACCGCAUAAGCCCGACGGGUCGGCAUCGAUCUGAGGGAAAAGGAGCGAUCCGCUUUGAGAUGGCCUCGCGUCCGAUUAGCUAGG